UCUUCGGCAGGUGGCUCCAGGCAUGUAAGUGCCUCCUUUGGGGAAGGGAGCUUUUGAUUAUAUGUGUGAGCAACAGAGAAAAUGUGUAUGUGUGUGUGUGUGCGUGUGCGCGCACAGAGAGAUACGAAGUGACCAGCUGCUGGACUGAAGGGUGGGGUGUGACAGGCUGGAGUCCGAUCAGCGUUUGGAACAUGGAGACCCUGCCUUCUUCCUGGCAAGUCAGGAAACCAUGUCCUUCAGGGCAAGCAAGUUCCAGAACAAGGAGGAUUAAGAAAGAACAGAUGAACACAAUUUCGGCCAAUGAGAUAGAGAAGAAAUCUGCUGGGGAAUUCUGAGCAAAUCUUCUUUGCUCUUUGAAAAGAGACUAACAAAGAUUCUGCAUCUGGUAAUGGCUGAGCAGCUCCUAUUGGACCACAAACUUCCCACAUGACAAAAUUAUAAAAAGCAACUAUGAAGACGCUAGAGAUUGAUGAGAGCACACAGACAAUGGAGAGAAAUUGACGCUUGAAAGAAGGGAUAGCACUGGAUAAGUUUGUUUGUUUGUUGGUUCUUGUCGGUUUUUACCUGAGGGAAGGCCCUAGUCAGGGUCAUAUGGCGUGGUUAAAACUAGAAUAGAAGCCCAAAGUUGUACUGGUAUGAAAAAGCAGAGGACAGAGUUCUGGUGACCACACAGCUGGAAAGUGAGGAGAGAAACCCUGGAAAUGAGAAGGAGCCACAAAGGCAGAGCUCCAAACUCUGUGUAUAGGCUCUGCUUAAAUCUCGGACCCCCACACAUGCAGACAGCAUAGGUAAGGCUAAAACAUCUAAACUGAGAUUUCAGCUUCCAUCUACCAGAGAGGAGACAAUGUAUGCAAUUUGGGAGCUCAAUCAAGUGACCUACCAACUAAAACAAAUAAACACAAAUACUCUUCAGAAGAACGAAAGAAUCCAGAGUCUCUACAACAUAUCAUUCACCAUGUUCAGGAUACAAUCCAAAGGUACUUGACAUUAGAAGAAACAGGAAAAUGUGACCCUUAUGAAACACAAAAGGCAAUCAAUGGGGACCAACAUCAAGAUGACCCAGAUGUUAGAAUUAACAGACAAAGAUUUUAAAGCAGUAUGACAAAUAUGUUCAAGAACAUAAAGGAAAAUAUACUUACAAUGAGUGAAAAGAUAGGAAAUCUCAGCAGAGAAACAGAAACUAUAAAAAGACCAUAGUGGAGAUUUUAGAACUGAAAAAUAUAACAUCUGAAAGAAAAAGACUAAAAGAAGAAGCAGCCUAUUUUUUUGCCUUUGGCCAUCAUAAGGAUGUGAUGCUGCUUUUGCCACACUCAUCUUCUGAUCAUGAGGAUAGCUAGCUUGAGGAUGAGGCCCAUGUGCCAUAUAUGGCAGAGCAAGAAGAUGGAAAGGACUUGGGUCCUUAAUGAUAUUAAUUAGCCACCAAAUUAACCAAGCUAGGAACUUCCCUCCUGCCAGACUUCUUGUAUUGGGAGAAAAAUAAAAUGUCCUUAUUUAAACAA